rnacentral:rRNA from 1 species
AUUGAACGCUGGCGGCAUGCCUUACACAUGCAAGUCGAACGGUAACAGGUCUUCGGAUGCUGACGAGCGGCGAACGGGUGAGUAAUACAUCGGAACGUGCCUAGUAGUGGGGGAUAACUACUCGAAAGAGUGGCUAAUACCGCAUGAGAUCUACGGAUGAAAGCAGGGGAUCGCAAGACCUUGUGCUACUAGAGCGGCCGAUGGCAGAUUAGGUAGUUGGCGGGAUAAAAGCUUACCAAGCCGACGAUCUGUAGCUGGUCUGAGAGGACGAUCAGCCCCACUGGGACUGAGACACGGCCCAGACUCCUACGGGAGGCAGCAGUGGGGAAUUUUGGACAAUGGGCGCAAGCCUGAUCCAGCAAUGCCGCGUGCAGGAUGAAGGCCUUCGGGUUGUAAACUGCUUUUGUACGGAACGAAAAGCCCCGGGUUAAUACCCUGGGGUCAUGACGGUACCGUAAGAAUAAGCACCGGCUAACUACGUGCCAGCCGCCGCAGUAA